rnacentral:rRNA from 1 species
GUGGGGAAUAUUGGACAAUGGGCGAAAGCCUGAUCCAGCCAUGCCGCGUGUGUGAAGAAGGUCUUCGGAUUGUAAAGCACUUUAAGUUGGGAGGAAGGGCAGUAAGUUAAUACCUUGCUGUUUUGACGUUACCGACAGAAUAAGCACCGGCUAACUCUGUGCCAGCAGCCGCGGUAAUACAGAGGGUGCAAGCGUUAAUCGGAAUUACUGGGCGUAAAGCGCGCGUAGGUGGUUCGUUAAGUUGGAUGUGAAAGCCCCGGGCUCAACCUGGGAACUGCAUCCAAAACUGGCGAGCUAGAGUACGGUAGAGGGUGGUGGAAUUUCCGGUGUAGCGGUGAAAUGCGUAGAUAUAGGAAGGAACACCAGUGGCGAAGGCGACCACCUGGACUGAUACUGACACUGAGGUGCGAAAGCGUGGGGAGCAAACAGGAUUAGAUACCCCUGUAGUCC